rnacentral:rRNA from 1 species
CCUACGGGAGGCAGCAGUGAGGAAUAUUGGUCAAUGGGCGGGAGCCUGAACCAGCCAAGCCGCGUGAGGGAAGAAGGUACAGCGUAUCGUAAACCUCUUUUGUCAGGGAACAAAGGCGGGGACUAGUCCCCGGAUGAGGGUACCUGAAGAAAAAGCAUCGGCUAACUCCGUGCCAGCAGCCGCGGUAAUACGGAGGAUCCGAGCGUUAUCCGGAUUUAUUGGGUUUAAAGGGAGCGUAGGUGGAUUGUUAAGUCAGUUGUGAAAGUUUGCGGCUCAACCGUAAAAUUGCAGUUGAAACUGGCAGU